rnacentral:rRNA from 1 species
GACGUAGGGCGCGAGCGUUGUCCGGAUUUAUUGGGCGUAAAGAGCUCGUAGGCGGAACGUUAAGCGGGGCCGGAAAGCCCCCGGCUCAACCGGGGAAGGGGCCGCGAACUGGCGUUCUUGAGGGGGAGAGGGGAGAGCGGAAUUCCUGGUGUAGCGGUGAAAUGCGUAGAGAUCAGGAGGAACACCCAUGGCGAAGGCAGCUCUCUGGCUUCACCCUGACGCUGAGGCGCGAAAGCUAGGGUAGCGAAUGGG